GUGGGGAAUAUUGGACAAUGGGCGAAAGCCUGAUCCAGCCAUGCCGCGUGUGUGAAGAAGGUCUUCGGAUUGUAAAGCACUUUAAGUUGGGAGGAAGGGCAUUAACCUAAUACGUUAGUGUUUUGACGUUACCGACAGAAUAAGCACCGGCUAACUUCGUGCCAGCAGCCGCGGUAAUACGAAGGGUGCAAGCGUUAAUCGGAAUUACUGGGCGUAAAGCGCGCGUAGGUGGUUCGUUAAGUUGGAUGUGAAAGCCCCGGGCUCAACCUGGGAACUGCAUCAAAAACUGGCGAGCUAGAGUACGGUAGAGGGUGGUGGAAUUUCCUGUGUAGCGGUGAAAUGCGUAGAUAUAGGAAGGAACACCAGUGGCGAAGGCGACCACCUGGACUGAUACUGACACUGAGGUGCGAAAGCGUGGGGAGCAAACAGGAUUAGAAACCCUGGUAGUCC
rnacentral:rRNA from 1 species